rnacentral:rRNA from 1 species
AGCUCCAAUAGCGUAUAUUUAAGUUGUUGCAGUUAAAAAGCUCGUAGUCGGACUUUGGCUGAGAACGGUCGGUCCGCCGUUAGGUGUGCACUGACUGGUCUCAGCUUCCUGGUGAGGACGCGCUCCUCACGGACGCGGAGUCACCGUGGUUACUUUGAAAAAAUUAGAGUGUUCAAAGCGGGCUUACGCUUGAAUAUAUUAGCAUGGAAUAACACCAUAGGACUCCUGUCCUAUUUCGUUGGUCUCGGGACGGGAGUAAUGAUUAAGAGGAACAGUUGGGGCAUUCGUAUUUCAUUGUCAGAGGUGAAAUUCUUGGAUUUAUGAAAGACGAACKWCUGCGAAAGCAUUUACCAAGGAUGUUUUCAUUA